rnacentral:misc_RNA from 1 species
UUAUUUUAUUUAAAUAUUGAUUUUUUAAUCCACUAGGGAUAAAAAAAUAAAUAAUAACAUAAAACGAGUUUAAUAUUAAAGGGUAAAAAUAAACCAAGUACCCUUUCCGGUGUCAAGCAGUAAUUAUUUUUCUAUACAUCAUCCAGAUGGAAGACAAACAGAUAAUAUUUAAAACUCUUCACCGGAAAAGGACCAAGUUUAAAUCAAACAAGUGCACAAGGGGUUUGGGUAAAGAUAUAAAGAAAGAAGAGUUGACUGAAAAAUUAAUUCCUAUCUACACUUCUCUCUUUAUACCCUCUUUUUUAUUUCAUUAAUGAUCCUUCCGCAGGUUCACCUACGGAAA